rnacentral:lncRNA from 1 species
UUCAGUAUAAUCUCCUUCCUCAAAAUAAUCCAUGUCUGGGACAUUAGUUAUUUUUGCUCAUGCCAAAGGUUAAUUCACAGUCGAUAAAUCAUUAUCUGAUGAUAGUAGAUCUAGUAUUUUUGGCAAGUGGGGCAGCCUUUCAACAUUUAUCAUAGAUUUAACCUGCUAGUGAAUAUCCAUAUAAGUUGAUAUGACUAGAUUGUAACUUCAAAAGUUUUACUCACAUGAUGCUCAAGGAAGGACUCCUAUCAUUUUGAGUAGAACAUCUAGCAUGCUUUAAUUUUCAAGGCUAUAAUAGUAGCAAUACACCAGAUAACAAUAAAUCUGUAUUCUAUCCGUUUCUUUCUUCUACGAGCUAAAUCAUUACUAGACCAUCUGAAAGUCUUCCCAAAAAGUAGCUGUAUAUGGAUAACUAAUACCAAUACCUUGAGUUUGUCUCAUUGUGACAACUGACGAACCAAUAAAUGCCAUCCAUGCAGGGUCUGAGGCGAUGUUUGCUGAUCUUGGUCACUUCUCUUAUUCUGCAAUUCAGGUAACUGACAUGAAUCCUCUUCCAUGUUUUGAUUUGAUACUAAUGUGUUAUCCUAUUCAUGUGAGUUCAAAACUAGCUGCUAAAGUGAAAUUUAACGUUGUCUUGCUACAGACUGCUUUUACCUUUCUGGUUUAUCCAGCUCUUAUAUUGGCAUACAUGGGCCAAGCUGCUUACUUGUCUCAACAUCAUCAUACGAGUUACCAAAUCAGCUUCUAUGUCUCAGUUCCAGGUAUACCUCAUCUGUUCUGAAUGCAAUAAAAAAUGGUAGGAAGCUGACCGAUGAAAAUAGAGAUCUGUAAAAGAGAAAAGUGCAAAUGACAAACUGUGUCAUGUAUCUAUCCAACCUAAAAGGGAAUGCAAUUUCACACUGUAGGCUACAGUACAUGUCUAAGUUCAUGGUUACAGACCAAUAAACUUGAUUGCUUAAUUGUUUUUAUGUACUGUACAGAAAGUGUGAGAUGGCCUGUGCUCAUAAUAGCAAUUCUUGCUUCUGUCGUGGGAAGCCAAGCAAUCAUUAGUGGAACAUUCUCCAUAAUCAAUCAGAGCCAGUCAC